AUUCCUCGGCUGCGCUCCAACCCCUGUGACAUACCAAUUGUUGCCUCGGCGGAUCAGCCCGCUCCCGGUAAAACGGGACGGCCCGCCAGAGGACCCCUAAACUCUGUUUCUAUAUGUAACUUCUGAGUAAAACCAUAAAUAAAUCAAAACUUUCAACAACGGAUCUCUUGGUUCUGGCAUCGAUGAAGAACGCAGCAAAAUGCGAUAAGUAAUGUGAAUUGCAGAAUUCAGUGAAUCAUCGAAUCUUUGAACGCACAUUGCGCCCGCCAGUAUUCUGGCGGGCAUGCCUGUUCGAGCGUCAUUUCAACCCUCAAGCCCUCGGGUUUGGUGUUGGGGAUCGGCGAGCCCUUGCGGCAAGCCGGCCCCGAAAUCUAGUGGCGGUCUCGCUGCAGCUUCCAUUGCGUAGUAGUAAAACCCUCGCAACUGGUACGCGGCGCGGCCAAGCCGUUAAACCCCCAACUUCUGAAUGUUGACCUCGGAUCAGGUAGGAAUACCCGCUGAACUUAAGCAUAUCAAAAUCGGGGGAGGAAACG
rnacentral:rRNA from 1 species